GACGAACGCUGGCGGCGUGCCUAACACAUGCAAGUCGAGUGGAGUCGAUCGACGGAAGCCUUCGGGCGGAAGAUGGUUGACUUAGCGGCGGAUGGGUGAGUAACGCGUGGGCAACCUGCCUCGAAGACCGGGAUAACAGCCCGAAAGGGCUGCUAAUACCGGAUGUGGUCAAGGAUCCGCAUGGAUUUUUGAUUAAAGGGGAAACCCGUUUCGAGAUGGGCCCGCGUCCUAUCAGCUAGUUGGUGAGGUAAAAGCUCACCAAGGCGACGACGGGUAGCCGGCCUGAGAGGGUGACCGGCCACACUGGAACUGAGACACGGUCCAGACUCCUACGGGGGGCAGCAGUGGGGAAUCUUCCACAAUGGGCGAAAGCCUGAUGGAGCGACGCCGCGUGAGCGAAGAAGGCCUUCGGUUGUAAGCUCUGUCUGGAGGGACGAAGGAAGUGACGGUACCUCCGGAGGAAGCCACGGCUAACUACGUGCCAGCAGCCGCGGUAAUGAGUAAUACA
rnacentral:rRNA from 1 species